UCCUAACCCAUAAAUCUCAGAAUGUGACUUUACUUGGAAAUAGGACCAUUCCAGGCCUCAUUCCUCGCUCACCAGGCCCCGCAGGGCCGGCCGAGCACUGUGGAGACCAGGAGACGCGAGAUUCUCGAGAACCCUCAGGAGAGACGCCAGGGAGGGCGGGUGUGGGGUUGGUCCUGCAAGGUGACCAGGGCUUGACGGAUGGGCAGAAGCAGGGUGCCAGGCGGGGCCUGGCGAUGAGGAAAUACUCGCUGUGGCUGCGGCCCCGCCCUCCGCCUGCACUUUCUGUGCUGUCCUAGCACUCGAGGAGAACAGAUGGCAUUUUCUGAAUCAGCCUAAGAUUUUUAUGAACGCACGUCGCCUCCGCGUGCAUAGUCCACUGUAUGGAGGUUCAGUUCGAUCCGGAUCUUAUCGCAGGAGCGUGACUCAGAGCAGGAAGGUCUCCGCCCUGCCUCUGAGAGAGAGAAAAGGAGAGGGAGGGAGAGAUAGAAAC